UACGGAGGGUGCGAGCGUUGUCCGGAAUCACUGGGCGUAAAGGGCGCGUAGGCGGCUGGGGAAGUCGGCGGUGAAAUCCCGAGGCUCAACCUCGGGUCUGCAGUCGAUACGGGCAAACUAGAGUAUUGCAGGGGAGACUGGAAUUCCUGGUGUAGCGGUGAAAUGCGCAGAUAUCAGGAGGAACACCGGUGGCGAAGGCGGGUCUCUGGGCAAUAACUGACGCUGAGGAGCGAAAGCGUGGGGAGCGAACGGG
rnacentral:rRNA from 1 species